CCUACGGGAGGCAGCAGUAGGGAAUCUUCCACAAUGGGCGAAAGCCUGAUGGAGCAACGCCGCGUGGGUGAAGAAGGUCUUCGGAUCGUAAAACCCUGUUGUUAGAGAAGAAAGUGCGUGAGAGUAACUGUUCACGUUUCGACGGUAUCUAACCAGAAAGCCACGGCUAACUACGUGCCAGCAGCCGCGGUAAUACGUAGGUGGCAAGCGUUAUCCGGAUUUAUUGGGUGUAAAGGGUGCGUAGACGGGAAGUCAAGUUGGUUGUGAAAUCCCUCGGCUUAACUGAGGAACUGCAACCAAAACUAACUUUCUUGAGUGCUGGAGAGGAAAGUGGAAUUCCUAGUGUAGCGGUGAAAUGCGUAGAUAUUAGGAGGAACACCAGUGGCGAAGGCGACUUUCUGGACAGUAACUGACGUUGAGGCACGAAAGUGUGGGGAGCAAACAGGAUUAGAUACCCUUGUAGUC
rnacentral:rRNA from 1 species